UCCAAAACAAAUAUUCUCAUCAUGUCCCUUCCAUUAUAUUUACACCAACCCUAAAGGCUAAGCUAGCUACACAUAUAUAGUCACAUACAUUAAUUUGUCACCAUUAAAAAACAUGUAGUACUACUUCUUUUAUAACAAUCACAUUUUCAAGAUUCCAUUUGAAUUUUCACCAAUCCUUUCUUUGAAAAAAAAAAAUAACUUACUCAGCUCAGUUCUGAUCGAAUAUUGUAUGAUAUGAAAUAAUAAUGACUUGUAAUUGUUUUGUAGUGAAAGGGGAUGUUUUUUUGUUUCUUGUCUUGAUGCUAAAUGUGGGGGCUCAUUGCUCCUUGUCCCACUCUCUUUAUAUGUAUAAGAAC
rnacentral:lncRNA from 1 species